ACUCCUACGGGAGGCAGCAGUGGGGAAUCUUGCGCAAUGGGCGAAAGCCUGACGCAGCCAUGCCGCGUGAAUGAUGAAGGUCUUAGGAUUGUAAAAUUCUUUCACCGGGGACGAUAAUGACGGUACCCGGAGAAGAAGCCCCGGCUAACUUCGUGCCAGCAGCCGCGGUAAUACGAAGGGGGCUAGCGUUGCUCGGAAUUACUGGGCGUAAAGGGAGCGUAGGCGGACAUUUAAGUCAGGGGUGAAAUCCCGGGGCUCAACCUCGGAAUUGCCUUUGAUACUGGGUGUCUUGAGUAUGAGAGAGGUGUGUGGAACUCCGAGUGUAGAGGUGAAAUUCGUAGAUAUUCGGAAGAACACCAGUGGCGAAGGCGACACACUGGCUCAUUACUGACGCUGAGGCUCGAAAGCGUGGGGAGCAAACAGGAUUAGAUACCCUGGUAGGCGUAG
rnacentral:rRNA from 1 species